GACGAACGCUGGCGGCGUGCCUAAUACAUGCAAGUAGAACGCUGAAGGAGGAGCUUGCUUCUCUGGAUGAGUUGCGAACGGGUGAGUAACGCGUAGGUAACCUGCCUGGUAGCGGGGGAUAACUAUUGGAAACGAUAGCUAAUACCGCAUAAGAGUAGAUGUCGCAUGACAUUUGCUUAAAAGGUGCAAUUGCAUCACUAACAGAUGGACCUGCGUUGUAUUAGCUAGUUGGUGAGGUAACGGCUCACCAAGGCAACGAUACAUAGCCGACCUGAGAGGGGGAUCGGCCACACUGGGACUGAGACCCGGCCCAGACUCCUACGGGAGGCAGCAGUAGGGAAUCUUCGGCAAUGGACGGAAGUCUGACCGAGCAACGCCGCGUGAGUGAAGAAGGUUUUCGGAUCGUAAAGCUCUGUUGUAAGAGAAGAACGAGUGUGAGAGUGGAAAGUUCACACUGUGACGGUAUCUUACCAGAAAGGGACGGCUAACUACGUG
rnacentral:rRNA from 1 species